GUACUCAUGUCAGCAGCACACAUACUACAACUGGUACAACACAGAGGUCAGCAUGGGCCCCAUGCACAGAUGACAUACAAAUUCAUGAAGUGUUCUACAUAUAU
ensembl:snRNA U6 U6 spliceosomal RNA